rnacentral:rRNA from 1 species
CCUACACGACCGUACCGCAAACCGACACUGGUGCGCGAGAUGAGUAUUCUAAGGCGCUUGAGAGAACUCAGGAGAAGGAACUCGGCAAAUUGACACCGUAACUUCGGAAGAAGGUGUGCCUUUAGUAGGUGAAGUCCCUCGCGGAUGGAGCCCAAUGAGGUUGCAAAGAAUCGGUGGCUGCGACUGUUUAUUAAAAACACAGCACUCUGCAAACACGAAAGUGGACGUAUAGGGUGUGACGCCUGCCCGGUGCUGGAAGAUUAAAUGAUGGGGUGCAAGCUCUUGAUUGAAGUCCCAGUAAACGGCGGCCGUAACGAUAACGGUCCUAAGGUAGCGAAAUUCCUUGUCGGGUAAGUUCCGACCUGCACGAAUGGCGUAACGAUGGCCACACUGUCUCCUCCUGAGACUCAGCGAAGUUGAAAUGUUUGUGAUGAUGCAAUCUCCCUGCGGAAAGACGGAAAGACCCCAUGAACCUUUACUGUAGCUUUGUAUUGGACUUUGAACAGAUCUGUGUAGGAUAGGUGGGAGGCUUUGAAGCAGGGUCGCUAGAUCUUGUGGAGCCAACGUUGAAAUACCACCCUGGUGUGUUUGAGGUUCUAACCUAGGCCCGUAAUCCGGGUUGGGGACAGUGCAUGGUAGGCAGUUUGACUGGGGCGGUCUCCUCCCAAAGUGUAACGGAGGAGUUCGAAGGUACGCUAGUUACGGUCGGACAUCGUGACGAUAGUGCAAUGGCAUAAGCGUGCUUAACUGCGAGACUGACAAGUCGAGCAGAUGCGAAAGCAGGACAUAGUGAUCCGGUGGUUCUGUAUGGAAGGGCCAUCGCUCAACGGAUAAAAGGUACUCUGGGGAUAACAGGCUGAUACCGCCCAAGAGUUCAUAUCGACGGCGGUGUUUGGCACCUCGAUGUCGGCUCAUCUCAUCCUGGGGCUGUAGCCGGUCCCAAGGGUAUGGCUGUUCGCCAUUUAAAGAGGUACGUGAGCUGGGUUUAAAACGUCGUGAGACAGUUUGGUCCCUAUCUUCCGUGGGCGCUGCAGAUUUGAGGAAGCCUGCUCCUAGUACGAGAGGACCGGAGUGGACGCACCUCUGGUGUAUCGGUUGUCACGCCAGUGGCAUUGCCGAGUAGCUAUGUGCGGAAGAGAUAACCGCUGAAAGCAUCUAAGCGGGAAACUCGUUUCAAGAUGAGAUCUGCCGGGGCCUUGAGCCCCCUGAAGAGUCGUUCAAGACCAGGACGUUGAUAGGUCGGGUGUGGAAGCGCAGUAAUGCGUUAAGCUAACCGAUACUAAUUGCUCGUGCGGCUUGACCCU